GAAAGGCGGAAAUAACUGAGAGAGAGAAGAAUCCUAGGAGAGGUGACUGGUUAAAUCAGAGACUUCAUCUGUCUCUAGGAUGCUCAUUUCCUUCACACCAGGAGAGCUUCCUGACUUCCCCUCUCAUGAUUUCGCUGUCUGUGGCGCUCCCCUUCCCUUUCCCUGCUCCAAGACAUCCCAUUUCUGAAAGAAUUAAAGAAGAAAAAAACAACCAGCAUUACCACAAAACUACCCAGCACGUCCAGGGAGCCUAACUGCAGAGAGAAUGUUUCCCACCUCAGCAAAGAAGGGAGGGAGGUACUACAGCCCCCAGACGACAGAACCAGGAGUAACGGAUGUAAGAUGCAAAGAUGCCAUUUUAGGUUUGAUGUCAGAAAAAACAAAAACAGCAAUUAAUCAAAAGUGGAAUGAAGGAGGUCACUGGCUCCCCUUCAGUGGAGGUCUUCAAGAGAGACUGCCUGACUUCCAGUUUGGUAUUCUCUACUGCGCAUUCAUCAUUAGCCAUGGGUUAGAUGAGGCAGAAGAGGUCCUAUACGACUCUGAAAUGGCUGCCUGCAAAAACAGUCCCUUCCCCAAAGGAGCUUAUAUUCUACUGGGGGGGCAUAUGUACACAGA